GGGCAUGUGGUGUAGUUGGUUAUCACGCUCGCUUAGCAUUUAUGCAGGCUUGACAAUGAAUACUUGCGAGAGGGGUCCGGUUCGAUCCCGGACAUGUCCA